rnacentral:rRNA from 1 species
UACGUAGGGGGCAAGCGUUGUCCGGAAUCAUUGGGCGUAAAGGGCUCGUAGGCGGCCAACUAAGUCGGACGUGAAAUCCCCAGGCUCAACCUGGGAACUGCGUCCGAUACUGGAUGGCUUGAAUCCGGGAGAGGGAUGCAGAAUUCCAGGUGUAGCGGUGAAAUGCGUAGAUAUCUGGAGGAAUACCGGUGGCGAAGGCGGCAUCCUGGACCGGCAUUGACGCUGAGGAGCGAAAGCCAGGGGAGCAAACGGGG